GUGAUAAUGUGCAGAUAAGAUUGCCGCGUAUUUCAAGCUGAGAAAUGGAAUUCGACAAAGACACAUCAAAGAGUCACUACCAGUCUCUGAAAAGCCGAUCUGUAUUGCUGACCAGCCCUACAGUCUCAAAUGGAAUUUGGACUAAUGUUUCCAUUACCAAGAUAAGCCCAGGUUUCGUAUUCUCAUUUUAGAGAUGAUACAACUAAGGACCAAGAGAAGUUUAACGUUGGUCACAUGA